rnacentral:rRNA from 1 species
CCUACGGGGGGCAGCAGUGAGGAAUAUUGGUCAAUGGGCGCGAGCCUGAACCAGCCAAGUCGCGUGAAGGAUGACUGCCCUACGGGUUGUAAACUUCUUUUAUACAGGAGUAAAGUGAGACACGUGUGCCUUUUUGUAUGUACUUUAUGAAUAAGGAUCGGCUAACUCCGUGCCAGCAGCCGCGGUAAUACGGAGGAUCCGAGCGUUAUCCGGAUUUAUUGGGUUUAAAGGGUGCGUAGAUGGGUGGUUAAGUCAGUUGUGAAAGUUUGAGGCUCAACCGUAAAAUUGCAAUUGAUACUGGCAGCCUUGAGUACAGUUGAGGUAGGCGGAAUGCGUGGUGUAGCGGUGAAAUGCUUAGAGAUCACGAAGAACUCCGAUUGCGAAGGCAGCUUACCAAACUGCCACUGACAUUGAUGCACGAAAGUGUGGGGAUCAAACAGGAUUAGAUACCCCAGUAGUC